GGAUGCAUAGCUCAGUUGGUAGAGCAGCUGACUCUUAAUCAGCGGGUCCCAGGUUCGAGCCCUGGUGCGUCCACCA
rnacentral:tRNA from 1 species